GACGAACGCUGGCGGCAUGCUUAACACAUGCAAGUCGAACGAAGUGGCGAACGGGUGAGUAAUACGUGGGUAACCUGCCCUCCUUUUUGGGAUAAGCCUUGGAAACGGGGUCUAAUACCGAAUAAAGGGGGAUGGGCGCGCGGCCUAUCAGCUUGUUGGUGGGGUGAUGGCCUACCAAGGCGGUGACGGUUAGCCGGCCUGAGAGGGGGACCGGCCACAUGGGGACGGAGAUACGGCCCAGAGUCCUACGUGAGGGAGCAGGGGGGGAUAUUGCACAAUGGGCGAAAGCCUGAUGCAGCGACGCCGCGUGGGGGAUGAAGGCUUUCGGGUUGUAAACCUCUUUCGCUAUCGAAGGGGUAGGUGGAGAAGAAGCGCCGGCUAACUACGUGCCAGCCGCCGCGGUAAUAC
rnacentral:rRNA from 1 species